AUUGAACGCUGGCGGCAUGCUUUACACAUGCAAGUCGAACGGUAACAGGUCUUCGGAUGCUGACGAGUGGCGAACGGGUGAGUAAUACAUCGGAACGUGCCUAGUAGUGGGGGAUAACUACUCGAAAGAGUAGCUAAUACCGCAUGAGAUCUACGGAUGAAAGCAGGGGACCUUCGGGCCUUGUGCUACUAGAGCGGCCGAUGGCAGAUUAGGUAGUUGGUGGGGUAAAGGCUUACCAAGCCUGCGAUCUGUAGCUGGUCUGAGAGGACGACCAGCCACACUGGGACUGAGACACGGCCCAGACUCCUACGGGAGGCAGCAGUGGGGAAUUUUGGACAAUGGGCGAAAGCCUGAUCCAGCAAUGCCGCGUGCAGGAUGAAGGCCCUCGGGUUGUAAACUGCUUUUGUACGGAACGAAAAGCCUGGGGCUAAUAUCCCCGGGUCAUGACGGUACCGUAAGAAUAAGCACCGGCUAACUACGUGCCAGCCGCCGCGGUAAGAC
rnacentral:rRNA from 1 species